AUGAGCUUAUAUAGCGGCUUGAUUUCGACUUAAGUAAUGGAUUAGUUAGUGAAAUUCACGUCAUU
rnacentral:tRNA from 1 species